ACAUGCUGGGAUCAUUUUGGAGCAGUUCAAUGUGUGUGCGCCAUGUGUCAUAAUCAGUUUCAUUGUUAGGUCUGGGAACCUUACCGGAGAAGGAAUGGAGUCUCACCUGGGACUGGAUGUGUGGGACAUCUUGCCUUCGUACGAUAUGCUCUACCACGACCUUCUGAAUGUCAGAUACCUGUGUUAUCCCAGCGACAACAACUGCAUUAGAUAUUUUAACAGCAGACUUUUGUAUGAAAUCCAUACUGGUCAUCAGUGUUGGCAGGAUUGCCAGUCUUCUAGCUUGCUUACUUGCCACAAGUGCACUGUGCCACCUACCAACAGAAAGGAAAAAAUAAUGUACAUAUUUCCACGACAGAAAUCCCACGCCUGGACCAUCGUUGACUGCCACCAUGAUUCUAGCCCACGUCACAGCGUCAUGUACGCUUUUUACAUCCAACACGAAAACUGCAGUCGUGGUGCUUUCGAUUGUACUCAGAACUCGGAAAUUCUGCCUCCCGAAUAGGAAGAUGUAGGUAACUCCAGACUGCAGAUGAGCUGCAUACAGGGCUGGACUGGGACAAAAAAAAUUGGCCCGGGCAUUUUGACUAGAGACCGGCCCACUAUUAUAGGAAAAAUCAUAAAGCCUUUGAAUGAAAACAAACACUGGUGUGACAGUGAUGUACACUGUUUUGAUUGUAUAUAUGUAUCAAUCUAUAAAUUGUUUGUUGUAAGAUUCAGAUAAUUAUUUUUUAAAAGCUAGAUAUUUUAAAUGAGAAUAAGAAAGAAAAGUACUUCUUUGUGCCCCCCUCUGAUGUGAACAGUUAAGAUAAAGGAAAUAAUACCCUCUCUUCCUUUAUCAUUGGUGUAAAAGUGUUUUUUUCAUCUGGGCCAAACUAGUGUUUAGGAAACACAUGAUUUAUAUUCUUUUAUCAAUGUGUCAUUUUUUUUUAUUUUAUUUCAGUCUAACUCUACAGUAUCAGUAGUAAAUGCUGUUUAUCAUGCAUGCCUAUGCGAGGAUCCUCUGUGGUUCAAAAACCACAAAACUGCUGCCUGAUAUAGCCAUAUGGAGUGUUUGAGCCCUGCACAGCAGCAAAAACAAGUGCCUAUUACCUGCUCUUUCUCUACCCUGUUCUGAUGAAAAUCACCACUCUGAACAAGUACUCUCAGCUGGAAGCAAGAGACACCCACAGCACUGUAUGUUUAGCCAUCAUGACUAACCAGGCACCUGCUUGAUUUCCCUUUAAGGGAAAGAACACACUUUUGAGAUUUUUUUUAUAGCUAACUUUCAAGCAGUUCACUGAAUAGCAGGUCUAUUACUGACACUCUGCUUUGGAAGAGAAAAGAACAAAGAAAUUAUGGAGGUGUACAUGUAUCUUUUUACAUUAGCGCAACUCGCUUGUUCAUUUGUAAUUAAAAUGCAUUACAAAAUUACAUAUUACAUAUUCAGAGACAAAAAAAGGUGAGGAUAUCCAAUUCAUGUGGCUAACAAGGCUCAACACCAGAACCUCUCUUUCACUGAUUCCCUUUGUUUGUGUUAUGUAGUAUAAGAAUGAGCCAUAUAAAUCAUUGUCAGCUUGGUCAGAAACUGUUGAUGGAUCAGUCCCAAACUAUGGAGUUAAUUCAUUACAUAAUAUUACACUGGUGGAAGAAUCUUAUCUUAAUAUCUGUUUGGCUUAUGAUUGCCUUUGAUGAUAAUGAGACUUGUUUUUCCAGAAAGGAGACGCUGCUCCACAUCAUCACACUGUCUAAACAAAAACCUUUUACCCUAAUGGUCCAGCAGUCAGAAUAGCCUUCUCACCCUCUUCUCCAUCCAUCGACCCUAUGAUCCAACUGCUAUAGGCAGAACCUGGACUCAUCGCUGAAAACAACCUUCAGAUUCCAGUGCACAAGUUGUUGACACCAGUCCAAACAUUCUUGAUUGUGAAAGGCACUAAUAGCAGGCCUACUAACUAGCAGUCCUGUGAGACUAGUUGUGUGCAGUCUGUUCUGGAUUGCCUGGGUACACAGCUAGAUUGGCUGUAUCUGGGUGUCAGCAGCUCAAAACAAGAGUGAAUAACAGAAUAAGUUGUUUGGCAUUGGCAGGGAACAGUUGGCAGUUUUUUCAUGGGUACAAACCACCCUUCUGCUGCUCAACACACAAAUGCAUUUUCAUUACAAAUGUGGCACCAUUUAAGGGAAAGUAAACAGGCUUUCCAACAGUAUAUGAUUUAUUGCCAAGAAGCACUGUUACAACACUUAAUACAUUGAUCAAGCAUAAAUUUCCUAACUUCUGUGCUAAGUUUAGCUAUGAAAUAAGAAAACAGUAAUAUAUAUUCUGCAAAACUGGAAGUUAUUACACUUUUUCCCAAUAACAUAUGAUACAGAUUAUGGUCAGUAAUGUUUAGAGAUGUAUAGUAUAUGUUUCAGGCAUAGUGGUAGGCAUGUAGUAAAUAGUAAUCCUCCUUAAUCCUUUGCUGGCUAUAUCUAAAGUUGUCAGAUGGAGAUCUACAGAGAGUAUUAAAACUCUGUAUGGCCCCACUAAGGACCACCCACCAUGCACUGCUGCUUGCACAACAAAUAAAACAAGAUUCAGUUUAAAAUGCUAAAGUACUUCAUCUAUUUUACUGCCUAAAAUGUAAAAAAUAUUUUACUUUAUUUUGACAGGCAGAAGGAAAGAAGGAAUGGCACACAGAAGAUUUAUGGAUAUAGUGAAGGAGGUGCAUGCAGAGGGUCUUUACAGUGCUCUUACAGUUUUGAUGAAGGGAAAGCUGAAAUUAAGAAAUAAUUUUGGCUGACUCAUUUUUACCACAAAUGAGCCUACACAUGGCUCUGUAUACAUACUCAACAGUUUUCAUAACUUCAAAAGAGAAAUUAAAAAGAGAGUUACUUGUGGUGAAGACUAUUUUAACAGCACUUUAACAGCUUUAUUUUUUUCUGUUUGUCAUCAUCAUUAUUAUCAUCACUACAAAAACCCACCUCUGAACUCUAGACAUCUGUUAGAUGUGUAAUAAAGUAACUCUUUUCUAACAAUGAACAACUUCCAUGCAUAAACCCCCAAACAAAACAGCCAUAAUAAAAGUAAACAAUUAUUACUGUUUUAUUAUUUUAAGAUAACGCUGUAAAACCUUGUCUUUAUGAGUACAUAAAUGCCUCUGUUUACAUUGUACAUGAACACAAAGAGACAUGCAAUGGAUUAUACAGUCUUGCUACCUGUUUCACUCUCCUUUGCUGAUGGAAGGUGUAAACAAUGUACAAUAUGAAUUAUCCAACAGCAGAUGUUGUGUAAAGAUAAAAGAACACUUUCAGUACAUUUGUUAGUUAUUAAGGUACACACAGUGCAUAAAAAUAAUUUGUUAGCUUGUCCACAUAGUCUUUGCUGUAUAAUGUUUAGCUUUUCAUUCUAAAUGAUACAGGUUCUUAGGCAUUUAGUAGAGGAAAAGCUUCACUGAUGUACAUUCAAAAUUGUACAUUUAUUACAGUAUACUGCUACAGUGUAUAACAAAGGUGUGUGCUGACAGUUGGUGGGAUGAUUAUACUGCUUUUAAGCUUACAAAUUCUCAGAAUAAGCAGCGUUCCCCUCCAAGCUAAAUACAAUUUAAACUGAGCACUAUGUGUCUAACGGCAGGCGCUGAUGCAACAUGUGCGUGUCCUUGUCCACUCCUUUAACCUCACAGGGUUUGUUUUUCUAUUUGCUCCUCCCCUUGUAGCUCUGCUCUUGAUAUUAAGCUGCAAAGGGACUUUUUCCCCCAAUUGUCAGCAUUGCCACUGUCUGCCUGUGGACACAGUGGUCAGAUGUGCCUUUUAAUGCUCUGAAACUGAUCAGACAUGACAGGAUGAGGUUAAUCUACCUCAGGAGUUAAUGGGCUAGCUCACCAGGACUUCAUAGUAGGCUGUUUACAAAAGCGGGGAUUAUGUAUGUGCAAUAUCAAUGCCUUACUUUCAGUCUUAACACAUUCAUUAAUUCUCACUUUUUACCUUUUUAGGAGGAAAAGAAUGUGCUUACAAAGUGCUUACUAAAACACUUCAGCAUUACCAGUUGAUCAUUAUAAACUUAGAUUUAAGAAAGAGUUAAAAGGCAAUACAACUAGGAGAAAUUACACAAACACAUACACACACAGGUGCAAAUACAUAGAAAAUACUUUCUACAGUUUUUCCAGUUACAUUUUUCCCUUAUUAGCUUCUCAUUAUUGGCUUCAUUCAGAACUGCAUUUACAAUCCAUCUCCUCAUAUACUAUAUCUUGAAUAAUCAGGACCCAUUAUAUCUUAAAGACCUUGUAGUAUCUUACUAUCCUAAAAGAGGACUUCAUUCUCACAUUGUAGGUUUACUUGUGGUUACUAGAAUUUUCAAAACCCUCACUCAGUUAUGCUGCAUUGAGCUUAGGCUGUUGGGAGGCCUCCCAUGAUAUACUGUUUCUUUUUCAUUCAUUUCUUUUCGCUUCUAUGUAUUUAUAAACCUCUACUAUAUUUAAUCAUAAAUACUUAUUAAACUAUUAAACUAAGCUAUUUCUUCCAUAGUGUGUCUUUUGUCCUGUUUCUUUCUGCUCUCUCUCUCUUUCCCCUCACCCCUGACUGGUUGUGGGGAAUGGCCGCCCCUUUGUGAGGCUGCUUCUGCCUGAGAUUUUUUCUCUGUUAAAAGGGAGUUUUUCAUUCAUUCUAUUGCCAGUAGCUUGGUUGUGGGGUUCCAUGUGCUUGA